AGAUCAUUCUUGCAAAGUAUGGCAAAGGCUUGGCAAAGUAGACUAUAAGCUUUUGGAAAACAGGGACUAUGUCUUCUUCAACAAUGUGUACACAACAAGUAGCAGGUUGUUUGGCAUAUGGCAGAUGCUCGAUACUUUGUUCUGGCAGUGGCAUGGGAGAUGGAUCCAAAGAGAUUAAAACUGGAGUGAAGGAGUCCAGUAAUGAUGUGAAGAGAUGAGGGUCUGAACUAGGACAGAAGUCAGUCACAGGGAUGGAUUUGAGAAGUUUUGGAGGGUUACACAUGCAGUACAUGCCACACUACUACCCUUCCUGCUCUUGUGCGCACACCUACCCUGAUGAUGCAGCCUUCACUGGAUAUCAAACCAUUUAUGUCUUUUCCAGUGGACAGUAGUUCUGCUGUUGGGCUCUUUCCAAAUUUUAACACAUAAACUUCUGACCGUCCUACCUGGGCUUGCCUCUGUUCAUGCUGUCCAGGGAAGCAGAAACCAGAAUAAAGGGGAGAACAAGAUGGAUCCUGUGCAAAAAGCGGUUAUUAACCAUACAUUUGGAGUAUCCAUUCCCCCAAAGAAGAAACAAGUUAUUUCUUGUAAUGUCUGUCAGCUUCGCUUUAACUCAGAUGGGAAGGAAGGAGCCGCAAGCCAAGGAAUGUGGGCAACCUCUAGAAGCUGGAAAAGACAAAGAAAUGGAUUUUCCCUUAAAGCCUCCAGAAGAAAUGCAGCCCUGCUGACACCUCGAUGUUAGCCCAGUGAGAUCCAUACCAGACUUCUGACCUCCAGAACUAGCCAGGCCGAGGCCCACUACAAAGGAAGUAAACAUGCCAAGAAGGUCAAAGCACUAGAGGCAACGAAAAAUAAACCCAAAAUGGUUCCUUCCAAGGACAGCGCAAAGGCUAAUCCCAGCUGCUCCAUCACUCCAAUCACAGGCAACAACUCUGACAAAUCAGAAGAUAAAGGGAAGUUAAAAGCCAGCAGUUCCAGUCAGCCAUCAAGCUCUGAAAGUGGCUCAUUUCUCCUCAAAUCUGGCACAACACCCCUGCCACCUGGAGCAGCCACUUCUCCCUCCAAGAGCACAAAUGGAGCUCCCGGUACUGUUGUUGAAUCAGAAGAAGAAAAAGCCAAAAAAUUACUUUAUUGUUCACUAUGCAAAGUGGCUGUGAACUCCCUGUCACAGCUAGAGGCACACAACACAGGAUCUAAACACAAGACCAUGGUUGAAGCUCGUAAUGGGGCUGGUCCAAUUAAAUCCUAUCCUAGACCUGGAUCAAGAUUAAAGAUGCAGAAUGGCAGUAAGGGGUCAGGACUACAGAACAAGACAUUUCAUUGUGAAAUCUGUGAUGUUCAUGUUAAUUCAGAAAUUCAACUCAAACAGCCGAAGGCAUAAAGAUCGAGUUGCAGGGAAACCACUGAAGCCAAAAUACAGCCCUUACAACAAACUCCAGCGGAGCCCGAGUAUUCUAGCAGCAAAACUUGCAUUCCAGAAAGAUAUGAUGAAGCCUUUGGCCCCAGCCUUCCUGUCCUCACCUCUCGCAGCGGCGGCAGCCGUGUCCUCAGCGCUGUCACUCCCACCCCGGCCCUCUGCCUCGCUCUUCCAGGCUCCAGCCAUUCCUCCAGCUCUUCUGAGGCCUGGGCAUGGGCCCAUCCGUGCCACUCCUGCCUCCAUCCUCUUUGCUCCGUACUAACGUCUGCAAACCCCAAGACGUUUGAGGUCAUGCUCCCAUGCCCCCCUUUCUAAGCCGAUAUCAACAAGACUGGAAUGUUUGUGAUAUCAGGGGCAAGAGUUAUCAUAAAACAACAAAAUAGAGUGGACUCUUUUAGAGCAUCUAUAUCUGCAACCUGUAAAUGGUAAAAUGUCUGUGUAUUUUUUUAAAUGUACCUUUUCAAUAAAAGUACAAAAAAUAAAA
rnacentral:sRNA from 1 species